CAGAUCAUGUGUUCUCCAACAAAGGGGGGGAAAGUUUUCUUACAAUGAGGAAAGUCAGUCUACCAGUACAGAUGUCUGUUCAGAAAUGGAUCCAACAGGUCAGUCUCUUCCAGCGUCCAACAGCGAGGCUAAAGGUCACCUGGGCUUCUUCAGGCAUAUGAGCAGCAGAGGACAGGGCUGGAGAGAAGCAUAUCUCACCUCUGAACGACAUUCACAGCAUUAUUAUUGCCCACUGCGACUUCCACGCUGAGCCUCGUCUUCAUAUGCAUCAUACAUUGGCAUUUAUUAGUGCCAUGCACUAAGUACGGGCCAUGUUAUUGAAUUUGAAUAUCACCUCCUAGCCACAUCCACAGGCCCUGGAAAUAUAUUAUAUUAAGAUGAAGCAAUCUCAUUUAAUAACACCCAAACUAAUAAAAGGAGAGCA